CAGUAGCCGCGGGAAUACGUAGGUGGCAAGCGUUAUCCGGAAUUAUUGGGCGUAAAGCGCGCGUAGGCGGUUUUUUAAGUCUGAUGUGAAAGCCCACGGCUCAACCGUGGAGGGUCAUUGGAAACUGGAAAACUUGAGUGCAGAAGAGGAAAGUGGAAUUCCAUGUGUAGCGGUGAAAUGCGCAGAGAUAUGGAGGAACACCAGUGGCGAAGGCGACUUUCUGGUCUGUAACUGACGUUGAUGUGCGAAAGCGUGGGGAUCAAACAGGAUUAGAUACCCCCGUAGUCCCUGUCUCUUAUAC
rnacentral:rRNA from 1 species